rnacentral:lncRNA from 1 species
UAUUUUUUAUGGUAAAAGAUUUUUCUAUGAAAUGUGGAAAUCAUAUUUCUAUUGAAAUACAAUUUUUUUAUUUUUUAUUUAAAAAAUUCCAAUCAAAUAAGUGGCAUCUCGUUGACCAUAUUUUUUUUCUUUAAUCGUGAACCAAACGAGCCCUAAAUAGCAAGGACUAGCAUAUAUUUGUAUGUGGUAUAUGUAAAUAUAUUUAUAUACCAUACAUACUACAUAUAUAAGUGUGGGUUCAGCUCGACCAAGGAGGGUCCAUGGGCAGGCAAUGGUUUAACCAAUCAAAACGAACCCCACGUACGGUGGAUGGUAAAAUUUGAGCGGCCAAAACCUAAUUAUUGAUCAGUAGGAGAGGCCUCAGGUAAGCUAACCAUGUUCAGUGCCGACUAAAAUCAUAUAUGCUCUGCAGAAUAGAUUUAAUAUGACUCCACGCAAGCUGAUGGAUU